CUACAGGCUUAACACAUGCAAGUCGAGGGGAAACGAUAUUGGAAGCUUGCUUCCGAUAGGCGUCGACCGGCGCACGGGUGAGUAACGCGUAUCCAACCUGCCCACCACUUGGGAAUAACCUUGCGAAAGUAAGACUAAUGCCCAAUGAUAUCUCUAGAAGACAUCUGAAAGAGAUUAAAGAUUUAUCGGUGAUGGAUGGGGAUGCGUCUGAUUAGCUUGUUGGCGGGGUAACGGCCCACCAAGGCAACGAUCAGUAGGGGUUCUGAGAGGAAGGUCCCCCACAUUGGAACUGAGACACGGUCCAAACUCCUACGGGAGGCAGCAGUGAGGAAUAUUGGUCAAUGGGCGAGAGCCUGAACCAGCCAAGUAGCGUGCAGGAAGACGGCCCUAUGGGUUGUAAACUGCUUUUAUAAGGGAAUAAAGUGGGAGUCGUGACUCUUUUUGCAUGUACCUUAUGAAUAAGGACCGGCUAAUUCCGUGCCAGCAGCCGCGGUAAUACGGAAGGUCCGGGCGUUAUCCGGAUUUAUUGGGUUUAAAGGGAGCGUAGGCCGGAGAUUAAGCGUGUUGUGAAAUGUAGACGCCCAACGUCUGCACUGCAGCGCGAACUGGUUUCCUUGAGUACGCACAAAGUGGGCGGAAUUCGUGGUGUAGCGGUGAAAUGCUUAGAUAUCACGAAGAACUCCGAUUGCGAAGGCAGCUCACUGGAGCGCAACUGACGCUGAAGCUCGAAAGUGCGGGUAUCGAACAGGAUUAGAUACCCUGGUAGUCCGCACGGUAAACGAUGGAUGCCCGCUGUUGGUCUGAAUAGGUCAGCGGCCAAGCGAAAGCAUUAAGCAUCCCACCUGGGGAGUACGCCGGCAACGGUGAAACUCAAAGGAAUUGACGGGGGCCCGCACAAGCGGAGGAACAUGUGGUUUAAUUCGAUGAUACGCGAGGAACCUUACCCGGGCUUGAAUUGCAGAGGAAGGAUUUGGAGACAAUGACGCCCUUCGGGGUCUCUGUGAAGGUGCUGCAUGGUUGUCGUCAGCUCGUGCCGUGAGGUGUCGGCUUAAGUGCCAUAACGAGCGCAACCCCUCUCCUUAGUUGCCAUCAGGUCGUGCUGGGCACUCUGGGGACACUGCCACCGUAAGGUGUGAGGAAGGUGGGGAUG
rnacentral:rRNA from 1 species